CGAACGCUGGCGGCGUGCCUAACACAUGCAAGUCGAACGAGAAACUUCCCGCUUGCGGGAGGGAGUACAGUGGCGCACGGGUGAGUAACGCGUGGGUAACCUGCCCUUUAAUCUGGGAUAACUCUGCGAAAGCGGUGCUAAUACCGGAUACGGUUUCGAAGACUGUGGUUUUCGGGAUUAAAGGUGACCUCUUUAUAAAAGUUGCCGUUAUAGGAUGGGCCCGCGUACCAUUAGCUUGUUGGUAGGGUAAUGGCCUACCAAGGCUGCGAUGGUUAGCUGGUCUGAGAGGAUGAUCAGCCACACUGGAACUGAAACACGGUCCAGACUCCUACGGGAGGCAGCAGUGAGGAGUUUUGCGCAAUGGGGGAAACCCUGACGCAGCAACGCCGCGUGAGCGAAGAAGGCCUUCGGGUCGUAAAGCUCUGUCAAGUGGGAAAAACGUGUCCCGGUCAAUAGCCGGGAGAUCUGAUGGUACCACUGGAGGAAGCACCGGCUAACUCC
rnacentral:rRNA from 1 species